CAGCAGCCGCGGGAAUACGUAGGGUGCGAGCGUUAAUCGGAAUUACUGGGCGUAAAGCGUGCGCAGGCGGUUGUGUAAGACAGGUGUGAAAUCCCCGGGCUUAACCUGGGAACUGCGCUUGUGACUGCACAGCUAGAGUAUGGCAGAGGGGGGUGGAAUUCCACGUGUAGCAGUGAAAUGCGUAGAGAUGUGGAGGAACACCGAUGGCGAAGGCAGCCCCCUGGGCCAAUACUGACGCUCAUGCACGAAAGCGUGGGGAGCAAACAGGAUUAGAUACCCCGGUAGUCCCUGUCUCUUAUAC
rnacentral:rRNA from 1 species